CAGAGACUGCGAGCGUUAUUCGGAUUCACUGGGCGUAAAGGGUGCGCAGGCGGCCGAGUGUGUGAGGCGUGAAAGCCCGGGGCUUAACCCCGGAAUUGCACCUCAAGCUACACGGCUAGAGCAUUGGAGAGGGUAGCAGAAUUCAUGGUGUAGCAGUGAAAUGCGUAGAUAUCAUGAGGAAUACCAGAGGCGAAGGCGGCUACCUGGACAAUUGCUGACGCUCAGGCACGAAAGCGUGGGGAGCAAAAGGGAUUAGAUACCCCUGUAGUCCACGCCCUAAACGGUGCACACUAGGUCUUGGCGGAUUCGACCCCCCCAGGGCCCAAGCUAACGCGUUAAGUGUGCCGCCUGAGGACUACGGCCGCAAGGCUAA
rnacentral:rRNA from 1 species